GUCAGGAUGGCCGAGUGGUCUAAGGCGCCAGAUUCAAGUUCUGGUCUUCGUAAGAGGGCGUGGGUUCAAAUCCCACUUCUGACA
rnacentral:tRNA from 1 species